UUAGUGUAGCUACCAAAUGCAUUCUUGACUUUCUUGCAUGUUUUUUCCUAAUACACUCGUUGUAAUAUACUAUAUUUGGUACUAGUUAAUUUUUAUAUAGCUGUCACGAGUCAAAGAUAAAUAACUGAAGACUUAAGAAACUUCCAUUAUAAUUUCAGGCAUCUGUCAAUGUCUUUUUCUUGAGAUGGCACAACGAAUUAACUUGCGCAGACUCUUCAAUUCUGUUAAUCUUGGUCUGAACUCUGCAUCAAUAAAUUAUUCCUUAAUACCAGACAAAGACAAGACAACAAGGAUCUUUCAUAUAUGAAAAUAAAUCACUUAACAUUUAUUACUAUGAUCAGUUACAUAGUCCAAUAAUUGAGUCAAUAUGUAAGUCUUCGUCUCUCUCUUUUCUUUCUAGCAGUUUCUCUGCAAUGCCAUUUUUGUUAUCAGGAAGUGCACACCAUGUGGCUCUCACCGAUAUUUCAGGUUGAGUAAGUUUUGGUUUCAUGUUGUAAUUUUAUUGAAAAAUUAAACUUUGAAAAGGUUAUUGUAAAAAUCAUUUUUCCUUUGUU